rnacentral:lncRNA from 1 species
UCGUUAAGUGUAGCCCAAUGUUUCACUCGAUCACCAAAUGUUUUGAAUAGAAGUUCACUGUAAUCCUUGAAAUGUUUCCUAAAGUUUGAUUUUUAUAUAAACAAUGUAAGCAUGCAUGAAGAAAUUCUAUAAAGUUUGAUAGGUUGAAUUAAUUUAUUGAACAUAAAUUAUCGAGAUGAGAUUAUAUAUAGGAGAUUUACACAAUAGAGUGAUUUAAGAAGCCACCAAACUUUUUUUGAAGAGCUAAUGGAUAGUCAAGGUGCAAUAUAGUCACAAAAGGUUCAAUACCUACAUAGUCAAAUGGAUCAUGUAAAGCAAGAAAAUAAAAAUUGUUGCAUGUACAUUAAACAUACUUCUUAUUGAAUCUAGUUAUUGCAAUGAAUAUUGGAUUCUUCUAUUCAUACCAUUGUUGAGUAACUCGUUGAUCAAAUUGUUGUAGAAGUUGAUACCUUCUUUGUUUAUACCUCCUUUCAAGGUUCCAUCUAUACAAUUGGUUGUUGAAUUUAAAGAUAAAGAUAAGUAUACUAUUAAAUAUUGCAAGAAAGAAUAUAUUGUACAAUCAAUGGUUAUGCAUAUGUAAUAUACUUUAAGAAAUAUUUAUCGACAAUAUAAGUUAUUGUUUGUUUCACGUCAUAUCAUUUAAUAAAACAGAUAUCAACAUAUAGAUAUGUGAUUCGAGUAAUGAUUUGGUAAACUAUUUUCUUUUGUCUUUGAAUAUCCAUCAAAUCAUAUACAAUAUAUAAACUUAUGUAUAUUAAAAAUUAUUAUAAUUUUAUUCCAUAAACUUGUUUUUAGGUUCCACCCUCCUUACGUAUUUUUCAUUUCAUCUUAUCCCUUAAGUUAAAAAGGUUUGACAUUUCAGUCCUUUUCGUUAGCAUUUUGUUUGAUUCAAUGUACUCUGUUCUUAUGUGUUUAAAUUUAUGCUUAUUAGGUUAAUGACUUCAUAACUUUCUUUAAUUCUUCCCCAAAUUAUCUUUCACAAAGCCUUUCUUCCUUGAGCCAAAGAACUGCCACUAAAUAUAAAGGAAAAUGAUAUGCGAAAAUAAAAUAUAACAUCCAAUGCUAAUAUGAAAAUGGAAAAUUUGUACAACAAAUGUGGGAAACGUUUUCCAACAAUCAAUGUUAUAUUUGGUCACAUGACUCACUACUAUGAGAAAUACAAAGUAACCAAUAGUCAGCGAUAUAUUCUAAGACUUUUAUUCGAAGACAUACUAUAGUAGAGUAAAGAAAACAAAGUUCAAGAAUAUUAGCAAUGACAACUAUGUACCAUCCACCAUCUUUCAAUAAGUGAAAUUAAAAAACUAUUAUCCAUCAUCUCUUUUUUCUCUUCAUUAGGGAAAUCUUAUACUAAAAUUGUCUUUCACAAAAAUUAUUGAAUGUACUAUGGCACUCCCUUAACGAUUCAUUUGGUGCACUUAAUAGAGAAACAUGAUCAGAUAAAAUUAUUCACUUAAAUUCGUUGAUUGAUGGACCAAUAGAAUAAUCAUACAUUAUUGCUAUUAGUGAUCCAAUCCUGACAAGCAUUUCUUAGCAUGUGUGCACCAAAAAAAUGAUGGGAUAAAUGUUUAUUUUGUCACGAUACUAUCUUAUCAUAUCCUUAUUUUUUUUUCAUUACAUUGGUAAUAAAUAAGUUUCCUUUGGAUACUAUAACCAGAUAUUAUACCAUUUCAAAAUACAUGUCGCAAUAUUGCAAUUUUCACUAUUGACAUAAUUUUUUAUAUGUGAAGUGGUUGACUACGACAUAUUUUUAAAAGCAGAGAGUAUUAUAUUAGAGUAUGGUAGCUCAAAAUUUUUACCUGGUAUUACUCUAUUCCAACAUAUGGACAUUCUGUAAGAAUUUACUCCAAGAUUUUUCAAAUGUUGUACGUCCUCCUACAAAACAUUCGAAUUUAAACAAAUCAAAUACAUUACAAAAUUAAUUCUUACAUAUGCAAUUUUUCCCAUCAAAUAAGAGUCACUAGAGUUUUGAUCCCCGUAAUUGGUAAUUGUUUGAAACAAACAUUACAACCGCUAAUCACUUUUAAUGUGGUCAUUGAGCUCUUUUUUUUUUUUUUUUUGCUGAAGUGGCAUGGUUUUGGUGAUGUGGCAAUGCUUAUUGCAUUUCGUUGUUUUUAAUUCACUUAAGUUUAUAUGAAUGGACAAAAAUAACUUUAUACCACAAAUAAAAAAAAAUGAAAUUAUCGAAUUACCCUUCUUCAUCAUCAUCUCCCUCCAUUCAUGAUUCUUCAACCAAAAAUUCAAACGCUUCAACUAAAAAUCCAUAAAUCAAUAAAAAAAUGCAAAAACACCUUAAACAAAAAUUAUUCCAUUUAUAAUUAAAUCAAAGAUAAAACUCACAUUUAUUUUAUCACAAACUUCUCACAAAUUUCUCAAAUCUUCCAAUCACGGAUUCAUCCAAAACAAAUCCAUCUUCUCCGUCUAAAUCACCAUAUUCAUUGGCGAUGUCUUUCAUGAAGCAAAAUCGGCAACAAUCUUCCUUCUACACUCUUUUCUCUCUUUGUGCCUCACUUGUAACCCUAGAAACCCUACCCCUCUUUCAUUCAUCUAUAUUUCCCUCAAAAACUCAACCCCCAUUCCCAAAUAACUAACCUAACUCUUUGGUAGAGAAGAUAAAUUUCAAUCACAGUGGUUUUAUCACUAUGGUUCUCACAUAAUCUCCUUCACAUCUUAGAAAUAUUGACACCUCAACUCUAUGAGAUCUUCAAAGACGGGAUGACUAUUGAAUUUCAAACUAAAAAGUACUUUGUUUUAACCCGAUCGUUUAUUUUUAUUUCAUCAAGAAACCUUAAUCCAUAAAACUCAAGUUGAUUGUAUGACCAGCAGAUGGAAAUGAUAAUGUUGUUGUGGUGGUGUCUAUUUCUAAGAAUAUAAAGGGCAUUGGGUUUGUGGUUGGAAUGAUGUUGUAUCACAACGUUGGAUUGGGUAUGUGGGGAAGGAAAUUUUGAUAUUAAAUAUUAGAAAUGGAAUUGAAAAUAGUACAAGGUGAAGAGAUAGGAAAGUAGAUCAAACAAAGUUCAUUUUUUAGUUUUGUUCUAGUUUAUAGGAAUGUCCAUUUACCUCUUUUGAAGAUAGUUUUCGAGAAGACUUUUUUUUCUUCUAGACUUGUGUUCUUGGUAUGAAGGUUUGUUCAAUGAGUUUCUUAGUUUGGGAAUGAGUUCUUGAGUGUUAAGGGUAUUCGUGUUAUUCCAUAAUAAAAUGAUAUGAAUCGGAAAGUGAAAAAUCCAGUCACCAAAAAAAUGAGUUCAUAGAUCAAAUUAAAAGGAUUAGUAAUUACAGUGACCAAAGCUUAAUUUCUCUAUAUUUGCAGGGAAGGAAUUGCAUAUUUAAUCCAAAAAUUAAACACAAUAUUUUAUGUUUAUAGUUUUCCACGUUAUUACUUUUUUUUUUUUUUUUUAAGAAAUUGUUUUAUUCAAGGAAGUACACGAAAACCAUAUUACAACAAAAUUAACUAUCAAAAAAAGAAUGGAAGAUUGUUAUUUUACUCCUUAGUGUUUUUAGGUGGGUGUAAAUUAACAUCCGUCUAUAUAUAUAUAUAUAUUCUCAUUAAAAAAACCUCCAGCCAUCGACACUUUGAGGAUUCCGAGCAAUCAUCAACAAACUUGACGGUUAGAGUCGAUAGUUAAGUAUGGAGUUUCAAGGCUUCAUUCUCACUAAAAUAAGAACUAUAGUAAUAUUUUCCUGGGUAGAAAACCUUUAAUAAUAUUUAUCAAUAAAAAAAUCUAUAAUAUCUAUCUACUAAAAAAUAAAAAAUCUAUAAUAUAUAACGUGUAAUGAACUCACUUUAUAUCUCUUGUAAUGUUCAAUCUUUGUUGCAAAUUUAUCUUCACCAGAAAACAAUUCUGCUUGUCAAGAAGAAAACAAACCGAGAAAUUAUUAGGAUUGACGCAAAAAGUCACCAUAACUACAAGAUAAUGUUGCUUCUAAAAACUCAAAGUUUUUAUACUACAUAUUAUGUAAGGUUAAUGAUAUUUAUAUAUCCCAUCCCAAAAGAGAAGGAGAGAGGAUAAAUCAAAAAAGAGAAUAGAUGUGGAUGAGGUGUCCACUACUCUUUUCUCAUUCAAUAUACCAAUUACUAUGUAUUUCAACCCCUAAAAAAAACUACUACAUAUUCCAAGAUGGAUUAACCAAUAAAAUUGAGGGUCAUAUAAUGAAUUAAGAAUUUUAAAACAUAUAGUAAAUUGAUCACUCUCUCACACACACACACACACACACACACACACAUAUAUAUAUAUAUAUAUAUAUAUAUAUAUAUAUAUAUAUAUAUAUAUAUAUAUAUAAUAAGUAUAUGUGUACAUGUCUAUUUUUAACUAGUAGAAAUACGAACAAUGAUGUUUUUGUCUAUGUGUGUUUCUAUAACGCAAUAUAAUAAAUUUGGACGAAUAGGAUAAGAAUAAAUUCCUCUUAUAGUGUUCAACUGUGAUUGUUCAUGUUUCAAUGUGAUUUAACUAAAUUUUUCAUUAAUAAUUCAAGUAACAUCAUAAAAGGAUAAAAUAGUAUAAUAGAAUAGUAAAAACGGAAAGAAAAAAAGCCACAUAAACUAUGUAUCCCCUUUAUAUAUAAUAACAUUUAUACUGGAACUCUACACACGUAUAUUCAUUAUUUUAUUGUGAUAACACGUGUUAGUUAUUAACAAUUAGUGUGGAGACCCGUGCACCAUGUACAGAAUUACUCGACGUGAUUCAAAAAAUGAUUUCCAUAUUUCAACAUACAUAAAACUAAUAUGUAGUUUGGUAAAUAAUAUUUAAUAGGAAUACUGGGAUUCGUUACCACUUUUCAAGCUAAUUUUUUAAAGUACAAAUCAACUAUAAAAAAUAAUACAAUGUACCUGCCUAAAAGAAUCUUUUAAGUAGUAGGGUAAUCAGUGAUCUUAGUAGUACGUUGUGUGUUUUUUGUAGGAAUAUGAUCAUAUAUGAUAGUCAACAACUUUUCAACUAUGUCUAUGCUUGCUAGAUGUGUUAAAAUGUUUGUAGGUGGUUAGGUUGAGAGUUAUUUAGGUGGGGAAUGAAGACGGGGAUGGUGAGCAUGUUAGUUGACAGGGAAAGGGAGCAGAUAAUACUCCUGGCUCGCGCCUCAUCCUGUUGACAUCUCAAUGUGGAAGUUGAGAAGAAUAUGUGUAUGCCAUUUGAAAAUAUUUUAAUUUGAAAUAUCAUAUAUAUAAUAGGGGAUAUGUCAAGUAAGAAUGAUAUCUUAAUGUGAGAAUAAUAGAAAUAAAUGGUAACCCUUAUAUUAAAAGGAAUGGUGGAGAUUAAAACCUGACUUAAGUGAGUCAUGCGCAAAUUCUCACUCCAUCCCAUUAUACACGAACACAUUAACACUUCUUUUCCUUUAUAAUCUCUCUCGCCCUUAAAUAAUACUCCAUAUGGUCUUUUUAUAAGAGACAAAUGGGUCAACAAAAGUUGAUUUAUUUGGUUGAUAAUAAAUACCAAAUAUAUCAACAUUUGCAAACCUACUUUUUUCUCAUCUAAAGGACCGGAGGGAGUACUAACAAAUAGAGGAUCCAAAUUCAUUAUUAACCUUAUUUAUUUAUGUAUUUAUUCAUUAUGAAUUUUUUAAGUUGUUUUGUAGAGUUCCUCAAUAUUUUCUUCUCUAAGAAACAAUAAUGGCUAAAUUUGUUGCUCUUGAGAGUACCAAAAUUAAAAUCUUAGAUUCUUACUUAAAUUUUGUUUUUAAUCAUAUUGGAGAAGAUGAAGAGAUUGAUUUAUCUUUUAAUGACGAUGAAUAAUUGGAGGGAAAGAAUAAUUGUUGAAGCGGAAAAACGAAGUAUGGUUUGAAUGCAUAUAGGAAAAGGAACUAAAGAAUUUAUGCAUUGAUGCAUAGAAGUAAGAACUGACACAUGACUCACUUAAGUCAUGUUUUAAUCUCAAUCAUUCCUUUUAAUCUAAGGGCUGCGUAAGGAGUUUGUUGGUUUGGCGGUGAGGCGGAAGAAGGAAUUUAAUAUUUCUCUUUCAGGUAAGUGGUGUUGGAGGUGUUUGGUGGAUAAGGAGGGAUUGUAGUUUAAAGUGUUUUUUAUCUCCUUAUGGGGAGGAGAGGGGGAGGCUAAAAGAGGGAGGUAGGGGUGGGUCUGUUUGGUGGAGGGAGGUUGUGAGAAUUCAAUAUGGUUUAGGUGUUGAGGGGGAAGUUGGUUUGAGAAGAUCAUUCAUAAAAAGGUUGGUAACGGCGUUACUACUUGUUUUGGAUGGAUAAUUAAGUUGGAUCGGUUCCUUUACGGGAUAGGUUUAGGAGGCUUUUUGAUUUGUCUAUUAAUAAGGAUCAGAAGGUGGCAGAGAUGUUUUCCGUAAGGUGGGGAUAAGGUGGGGAGGGUUGGUUGUGAAGACGCAUAUUGUUGGCUUGGGAGGAGGAGUUAGCUGGGGAGUGUAGGAUAUUGCUCGUUGAUGUUUCUUUUCAGGAUAAUGUUACAAAUGUAUGGUUGUGGCGGCCCAGUGUGGGAGAUGGAUAUACAGUUCGUGGUGUGUAUCUGUUAGCCUGCAAAUUCAACAGGCUCAUUUAAUAUGGUCAACAUUUGUUUGAACUUUAACUUUGCAGGAAUUGAAGGUUGUCUCAUAUUCAACUUGGGUAUUUCGACAAGAUAGCAAGCUAGUGCGCGUAACUUGAAGUUCGAUAGAACAAAACUGAAGGAAGAUCGCGUCGAAGUCAAGCAAUGAAGGCGGGAAAGCACGAUUUUAAGCUUGGAGACGGUUUCCUUAGUUGAAACGUGGGGGCAAACGGUUGCCCAAGAUGGAGGAAGUGUUGAUCAUGGGAUUAAUGGUUCGCCAGUUAGUUAUUUUAGUAUAAAUAAGUGUUUCCAAGCCGGAAAAAGGGUCGAAAAUCAUUUAUAGAAUUUUGAAACACUCAAACUACCGGUGCCUAGGGAAACGAGUUAUAAAGAAUGUAUGUAAACUAUUUUGUAGACCACCUUUAUUUUAAUGCAAUGCAAUUUACCUUUCCUCUAAGUAACCUGAGUGCAUCUUGUGGCCAUUUUCAAAACCUUUUUUCGAUCAAAACCUAUGCACAACAUGCUCCUGAGAUCUCUAGUUCAGUCUCGCUUGUAAUAAUCAUAACUAACCCGUAGUUUGCCAAAAACGUAGGCAAAAAAAUUGGCAUACCCAGUGGGACCCUGUUUGUGCAAUUGAUUUUCAAAAACUUUUUUCAUCAAAAACUGUUUUUUCAAAAACUUUUUCAAAAUCCAUCUCCUUGAGAGAUCCGUUUUUAGAAUUUUGUUACUAUUUCCGGGUAACUUUAUUGCUAAAAACACCAAAUUUUUUGUGUAUGCAUUUGAGAAGUGGUAAAUCUAUGGCUCGUGUCAGUUCAUCCUGGUCACAAUCAUCUUCACAAGCAUAAUCUUUACAAGCGACUUCUCUAUUGGGAGAUUUAAAUGUGUCGACCCCUGUGGGGGAAACCAUGGCUAUGACAGUUUCGAUGGAAAUGGGAGCAAUUGCUUUGUCAAACGUUUCUACGUCUGUUUCGAUGACACGAGCAGAAAUGGGAACCGAUAUACCCCCAUUCACUACUGGUGUUUCUUCGACUACUAGUAUUCAAAGUUCUCCUUUAAUCAGGCCUAAGCUUGAUGAUCGAAAUACAAAUAUGCAGAACCUUUCUAGGGAACAACCGUAUGGUAUGCCAACUUCGAUGAUGGAAAAUGUACAUCAUAGUGCGUCCGCAUUUGCAGAUCAAGCAAAUAUGUUCACAAUGCACAACGUACAUUGUCCCUCAAGUUCUAGAAUUUUUGGUCGGAAUACUAUACCACCGUUGACGACAUAUUCGAUGAAUUUGUUAAGACAACAAAUGGAUGAGACUAACCACGAAAUGGUUAAUUUGUUAACGCAACAAAUUGGUACCGUGUUUAAUCCUUUGAUAAGGGACACAAACCGGAGUUACCAAGACUUAACCACUCAAAUGGGGAGGAUAGCAGAUUUCUUUGCACCCCCACAACCGGUUUACCAAUUGGUUACACAAAUCCAAAAUCAACAACCGUUGCGGUUGAUCGAACCAAUGGGUCAAAGGCUACAACAUGUGCCUCAACCCCAACCGAUCGAACCCAUAAUUCAAGAUCAACCUGAAGUGAUCUUGGUAAAUAGAAAUAAUAAUGUCGAUGAAGUUGUUAGGAAUGUCCAACAACAAAACAUAGGAGUACAUAACAAUAUAGCCAAUUUGGUCGAAAAUAUAAUGGCUCAAAAUGGUUUGAAUAUUGGCCUACACAGGCCAAACUUUGUUUCUACUUUGUCAGAAUUGGUAUUACAAUCUAAACUACCUAAUGGUUAUAAAAUUUCCAAGUUCACCAAGUUUGCAGGGGAUACAAGUGAGCCCACUGUCGAACAUAUCGCAAGAUAUUUGAUAGAGGCAGGAGAUCUAGAAAAUGAUGAGAAUUUGAGGUUGAAAUAUUUUCCAAAUUCUCUAACAAAGAAUUCCUUCACAUGGUUUACUACUCUUGCACCGCAUUCGAUCCAAAGUUGGACUGAGUUAGAAAGGUUAUUCCAUUAACAAUUCUACAUGGGCCAAUCUAAGAUAAGCCUAAAAGAAUUGGAGAGUGUCAAGAGGAAUUCCACUUAAUCCAUUGAUGAUUAUCUCAAUAAAUUCAAGGCAAGAUGUUUCACUCAAGUUCCUGAACAUGAGUUAGUCGAAAUGACCACUGGUGGACUAGAUUAUUCCAUCAUGAAGAAACUAGACACUCAACACUUAAGAGAUAUGGCCCAGUUGGCCGAUAGAGUUCGACAUGUCGAGAGACUAAAGGCUGAAAAGGCCAGAACUCAGAAAUAUCACAAAAGAGAAAAGAUUGUUUAUAUCGGAUCAGAUGAAGGCAAUCAAGAAUUCGACAUAGCUUUUGGCGAUGUCGAAACAAAGUAGGUUGACAUUGCUGAACUAAACAAUUUCAUAAAACAGAUAUAUCAAAGAUUAUUUCCUUUUCAUUAGUCAACCACAACGUCCAUCCAUCUCUAUAUUCUCUUUCAGUCUCUUUAAUUGUCGAUGUUUGAUUCUAUUUGUUGGUAAAAACAAUUGUUAUUGUUUCUCCAUUGCGAGAAAACAACCUCAUUCAAUUUAUUGCCAAAAGAGAAAACAUAAACAAGAUAUAUCAAACCAAUAUGAAUGAAAUUAAAUUGUGUAUUUGGAAGGUUAUUGAAAUGAAAUUGGAUAAAGAUAGACGGUGUGAUUGUGUUGUUUAAGAAAAUCUCAAGGAAGGUCAAUGUAAUUUUCCUUUUAUCAUUAACGUCAUCUUUAUGGUUAAUCUUUUUUCUAUUUUCUCAAUGCAUAUAACAUUGCAAUUCGCUUUGACAUAUACCCCUACUUCGACGUCCAACCCGUGCGGAGCACGGGUUUGUUGCUAAUUUUAUAAAAAAAAAAAAAAACACCGAACAUAAUUUUCAAACAUUAGCGCAAUAGAAAAAGCGGAAAGAUGGACACGUGAGUGCACGUUCGCUAGUAGAAAAUAUAGUAUAAACUAUAAACUCUUAUCUUUUUCAAUGACAACAACAAUAUAAUUUUUUUUUUGUUAAUGGUAUAAUUGAAAUAAUGAAAAAUUCAGCACAAAUCUCUUAUUUCUUUUAUACUACUAUAAUUUUAAGAUGAUAUAUUUCCUAGUAUAGUUCUAUGUUAACGAGAUUUAACAAUUUUUUUAAUUAAUGAUUUAAAUAAUAUUAUAAAAAAAUAAAAUACUUUAAAUAAAGGGUAAUAUUGAAAAGAUAAAAAGUCAGUCCAAAUUCAUGCAUUUUUUUUUUUUUUAUGUAUAGUAUAUAUAUAGUUAUAGAUUAUACCAUCAAAUAUGCCAAGCCCUCUUCCUCCUUCAUGAGAUCCACCUUCAAUCUAAGGUCACAAAAACUUGUCAAUAAUAAUAUUAUGAUUAUUUUUAUUGUCAAAAAUAAAAAAAGUACAAUGAUUUUUUUUCUUUCUAUUCACAUAAAUACGAAAACGUCCUCGUGAGCUCAGCUCAGUUGGUAGGACAAAUGCAUAAUAUAUGCAAGCUCAGCUCAGUUGGUCAAAUGUUUAUAAGCCUAAGAAUGAAGGAGGGUUGGGUAUUAGAGAUUUAAGAUUGGUUAAUCUUGCCCUAUUAGGGAAGUGACGUUGGAGGUUUUUCACGAGAGGGGAGGCUUUGUGGAAAGAUAUUAUUGGAGAAAGAUAUUUAAUUGGGGGGUUGUUUAAGAGGUGUCUCAAACAGUUGGAAGGAGAUCUCCUUACUGAGAACAAGUCAGUCUAACUCUACUGAUUGAAGAGAGGGGGGGGGGGGGGGGGGGGGUUUGUUAGGUUUCUUAUUAAUUUAGCAAACUAUUGUGUGGUCCUUGUGAAGAUCAUAAAAUGGUCACAUCUUAUGAAGGAAGGAGACGUGUGUACUCCAGUUGGUGGAUUUGGUUAAUUUUACCUCUUACAAGUUGUUAUUAGGAAAACAUUAUGGUCACACAUGUUCUUUCUAUGAGGGGGAUCAUAAACUCAUUAUAUGUUGACGUCGAUGGUGUUUUAUGACAGAUUUGUCUAUGGGUUGGUUGAUUGAGAGGAUCUAUUUGCAAUUUUCCUCUUAUUCGGAUGUGGUUGGGUCUUCUUCUUAGGAGUGUAGUUGGUUUCUAGUGUUGUUUUAGUUUUCACUAUUAUUUUUCUACGGCAGGGGACUCUUUGUACUUGUUAUUGUUUUCCAGUACUCAAUCUUUAUACAUGUGUGUACUCUUGUAGGAGAUUUCUCCUAUUUAUAUAUGGGUUUUCUAUCAUGUGCAAAUUUGCACAUGUUAAGAAGUUUAAAUUAAUAACUUUGACUUGAAACUUGUGUUUUUUUAUAUUAAAUAUGUAACAUUUAAUCAAUAAUUGUUGAUUUUCAAUGAAAAAUUACUACUAAUAUAUAUUUGUCAUUCAAUAAUAAUAACAAAAUCUUCUAUUUUUGACAAGAGCUAGUACUCCCUCCGUCCCAUAAUAUAAGCAAAAAAAACACAUUUUCUUUGUCCCAAAAUAUAAGCAAAAAAGACAAACUUUUAUCUUUUUCAAGAUUUUUUUUUGUUUAUUCUCAUAAAAUUAAAUGCAAAUUACAUUCAAUUUUCACUCUCUUUCAUUUUUUCCAUAACCAAUGGCCAAUGAAAAUUGUUUUUACAUCUUCCUAUAAAACUUUUUUCAAAGAAAACACAAAAAAUUAUACUCCAAAUUCUUAUGUUUUAGUUUUCUUAAUAAGUGUGAUUUUUUUUUUUUUGCUUAUAAUUUGGGACAGAGGGAGUAUAUAUCUAGGCCUACGACUUUUUAACAUGUACCUGAGCGGCUGAAGUUCCAGCACCAAACAAAAAGCCACGUGGAAAUGAUACCCGGUUCGGAAAGUUCGAUGAAUUUACAAAUUUCAAUAUAGAGUCAUGUGCAUUAGUCGUAUCUCCUUCUCCAAUCUGUAUUACUCUGAUCUCAUAUAUAAGAUGAAAAAGAAAGUCAAACAAAAUCGAUGUAUUUAGUUAAAAAUUUGAACCAAAUACAUCAAUUUUAUUUGAUUUUUGUUUCUCUUAUAUUUGAGAUCGGUAGAAGUAUUAAUUAAACAAACAUGUUAAAUAAUAUGUAAUGAAGUUACUACGACUCUGAUAUUACUGUGCCUAUGGCUGAAACCAAUAACUACCUGUGAAGUAGAUAAGUCACGUUGAGAUGAUUUCUCCGAGGGAAGUAGAAGUAUGCCUGCAAUAUUAACAUUAAAAUACACUUUGCAUUACUCGAUUCGUCGUAAGUUAUAAGUCACGUUGCAAAAAAUAAUUUGUCUCAACUUAAAAAUCAUUUGAGUAUAUAAUGAAACAUUAUUUUUUCCUCAACCUACACUUUCGUUUGUUCGUAGGUAAAAGUUACUCUUUAAAGUUUAAAACAAAUGAUGAUUCUUUUGAGUAUUUGAUGUUUUCUUUUACCUAACAAAUCAUACUCUCUCUUGCCACACCAAAUUAUUCCCCAUUUUUUUUUUUCAUAUACUUGACUUAAAUAAUUAUAUAUGUAGUAUAAGCUGCCAACAUAUCACAAUUUCUUUCUUGACUCAAUGGUAUGUGCUUGAUAGAUGAAUUGUAUGUGUUGAGAUCAAUUCCCGGUGAGUUGUAGUUUUGAUAUAUUUUUUUAAAUUAUUAAUAUUAAAAAAGGGUAUUGCAAGGAAUAAACUUGUAACAACACUAUUUAUCUGUAGCAAUGGCAGAGCUAGGAAUUGUAUGUAAGUGGCGGAGUUAGGAACUGUAUGUAGUGGGGGCAAUAUUCUACGUAUAUGUAAUAUAAUAGUUAAGAAUGAAGGUGUACAUCAUAAUAUUCUCUACAACUAUCUAAACUAUGAAAAUACAUGAUUGUUUUAUAAAAAUGAAGAAUAACAAUUGUUUCAUUUUUUUUAAUAAGAAUAACAAUUAUUUCUAACACUUCCUUAAAAAAAAUCUAACACAAUCAACAAUCAUGUUAUAUAUUGAUUGUUAAAAUAAAUUAAAAUUGCCAUUAUAAAAGUAUUUAGAUACAAAAUAUGAAAUAUAAAUUUAAGUAUACUUGUGUUUUUAAAAAAUAAAUUGAAUUAUACUUGUCAUCAAAUUAUUGCGAGGGACAAAAGUUAAUGAGGUGGAAAUUUUUCUCAUGCGUUGGAUUGCUGGUAAGGAAACUGAUUAAAAUUUUAACUAAUUAAAACUACCCCAAAGUUCCCUUAAAAAUAAAGCACCCCAAAGUGGCUGGUAUAUAUAUUGGAUUGAAAAUAGUAGUGCAGGCAGGAGCCCCCACCCUGAUGCAGUGGCGGACCACUAAAAUUAAUUAUUGAAAAAUUGUUUAAAGUUUAGUAAAUUAGAUCUUUAAUUGAAUUAUUUAAAUUUUUCGGAUGGGCCACUACACCAAUUUGCGGGAAUUUGGAUCAACCAAAACAUGAAACCGACACAAAAUUGCAUAAAUCUCGCAAAAUAGACCUAUAAUCGUUGAUUUUUUAAUUUUUCCGAGUGGGCCCAUGAAGGGCUCCGCCACUGCACUGAUGUGAGUGGCUCCGCCCCUGAUCUGUAGCAUUUAAUGUAUCAAUGUGUUACUUUAUUAAUAUAUAUAGUUUGUUUCAAAAUUUUGUCACACCAAUAUCAAAUGUCUAGAACACCCCUGCUUCCGUCCACGUAGAUGGUGUCACAUGUACAGUUAUGAACGACUGAGGAAGAUAAUAAACUAACGUUUGACAAUUUCAAAAGGAUUUCUGAAAUUUUGCAUUUGAAAGAGUUAUCUUCCGACAAGCCGCCGGAAACAAAGAGCCACAGCAGACCAACAUGGAAAACAAGGCUCGCAGCAACACACCAUCGGAAAAAAAAGGAGCAGCUUCCUCUUCACCCCGAAACAACAACAGCUACCUAUCGGUUACUAGGUAUUUUAUUUUAUUCAAGACCAUUUGAUUCCUACAAGUAUUCUUUGAAUAUGUUUUAAUUUAAAUGACAUAAGUUUGUUUUACUAAAAAUAAAUAAAUGUUACCAAUUGAAUAGAAUGUAAUUAAUUUAUUUACUUGAUUAAAAAAAGUGAGAACUUCAUUUCUUGAAGAAGAUGAUUAUCUAAAAAUAAAAGAAGUAAAAUGCUCAUACCUUGUGCCUGGACCCGAAUGUUGGAAAGCAAAACAAGUGACAAGAUUGCAAGAACAGUUUUAGUAAUUCUCAAAGAUGACAGAAUCUCCAUUUUCUCCAUCUAAGAAAACUUUGGAAGUUGAUAGAAAAAUGACAACUGUAUUGUUUGAGAUUUCUUCAACUCUUGAUAAAUACAGAUAUUGCUAUAUAUAGACUUUCUAACCAAAUAAACUUUUUUUACCAAUCCAACUACACAAUGUUACUAGUGUCAUUGUCAAGAGAAUUGUUGUUCCCACAUAUAGUAUGGCCGUACCACACGAGUAAAAUACGGAAAUGUCCUUCGGUAGUAAACUGCCGAAGUUUUUAGGAAACCGGCGGCAGUUAACUGCCGAGGAAAACCUCGGUAGUUAACUGCCGAGGAAAAUGUUUCAUCCGAUGAAACAACUACCUGCUCCCCCUACACACUAUUUUCUUCAUCACCUUCAUUUCCACCUCCAUUCAAUCCCAAAAUCCUUUUUUUUUUUAAUCAAUUUUUGAUCCAAAAUCAUUCAAGCAUCAAGCAUAGGAGGUAUCAACACACUAUUGACGUAAAAAAACAGGUAUUGUGCAUUUUAUUUGAUUGAUUUUUUGGGUGUUUUAGGGGUAUCUACGUCAGUUACAUAGAACCCUGUCAUGGGAAUCCUCAGCAGUUAACUGCCGAGGAAAACUUCGGCUGUUUAGUGCCGAGGAAAACCUCGGUAGUUUGGUACCGAGGAACUCUUGGUGAAAAAUUUCACCACGAAAAAAUGGCAGCUACUGCCAGAUUUUCAAAUUUUUUUUCUUUUGUUUUUUUUUUGUUUUAAUUCAUUAUGGCAUUGAUGUUUAUACAUUACUUAGUUGUUAAUUCAUAUUUAUGUGUUGUUUAAUUAUAGUAAUGGUAGAGAAUGCGAAAGAAGUUCCGGGAGAGACAAAACAAAAUUUUGUCGAAAAUUCUGGAGAUGUCAAACCGCCUAAUGUUGAAGCGAAAACAAACAUAGAUGGAGCUUCCGUCCAUGUUGAAGCUUCAAAGUAUGUUGGCGGCUCCGGUGUACUCCCACUUCAACCCCACGAGGUCGACACGGCUAAGUUUUUUCAGACGACGUUAAGUUGAAAAAUAGAGAUGAAUUGCUUGAGUGGGUGCGUCGACAAGCAAAUAAGGCGGGAUUUACAAUUGUCACACAAAGAUCAAGUUUGAUCAAUCCAAUGUUCCGGCUAGUGUGUGAAAGGAGUGGAACUCACAUAGUUCCGGAAAAAAAAAACCGAAGCAUGCGAGAACGGGCUAAAGAAAAUGCGGUUGCUUAUUCAUGAUUAGUGGAUAUCAAAGUAAGCAAACAAAGGAAUGGGGAUUGAACAUUCUUAAUGGAGUUCACAACCAUCCCAUGGAGCCGGCUUUAGAAGGACACAUUCUUGCAGGUAGAUUAAAGGAGGACGACAAGAAGAUUGUACGUGACUUGACAAAGAGCAAGAUGCUUCCAAGAAAUAUUUUGAUACAUUUGAAGAACCAAAGACCACAUUGCAUGACAAAUGUGAAGCAAGUGUACAAUGAACGUCAACAAAUAUGGAAGGCAAAUAGGGGUGACAAGAAGCCGUUGCAAUUUCUAAUCUCGAAGUUGGAGGAGCACAACUAUACUUAUUACUCAAGAACACAACUUGAAAGUAAUACUAUUGAAGAUAUUUUUUGGGCUCAUCCAACAUCCAUUAAGUUGUUUAACAAUUUUCCAACGGUUUUGGUUAUGGACUCCACGUACAAAACCAACAUGUAUAGGAUGCUAAUGUUUGAGGUAGUUGGGGUGACUUCAACCGAUUUGACAUAUUCGGUUGGGUUUGGAUUUAUGACACAUGAGAAAGAAGAAAACUUUGUUUGGGUUUUAAAAAUGUUGCGUAAACUUCUUUCGUCAAAGAUGAAUAUGCCUAAGGUGAUUGUUACCGAUAGGGAUAUGUCUUUGGUGAAAGCGGUUGCACAUGUUUUUCCGGAAAGUUAUGCAAUGAAUUGUUAUUUUCAUGUGCAAGCUAAUGUUAAACAAAGGUGUGUCUUGGAUUGUAAAUAUCCUUUGAGCUUUAAAAAGGAUGGGAAAGAGGUGAGCAAUCGCGAUGUGGUGAAGAAGAUAAUGAAGGCAUGGAAAGCUAUGGUUGAAUCGCCCACUCAACAGUUAUAUGCAAAUGCAUUAGUGGAGUUCAAAGAUUCAUGUAGUGAUUUCCCAAUUUUUGUAGAUUAUGCCAUGACCACCUUGAAUGAAGUGAAGGACAAAAUUGUGAGGGCAUGGACAGACCAUGUGUUGCAUCUUGGUUGCAGGACCACAAACAGGGUCGAAUCGGCCCAUGCUUUGUUGAAGAAAUACUUGGACAAUAGUGUGGGUGAUUUGGGUACUUGUUGGGAGAAAAUACAUGACAUGUUGUUGCUUCAGUUCACUGCUAUACAAACAUCCUUUGGUCAAAGCGUUUGCGUGUUGGAACAUAGAUUCAAAGAUGUCACUUUGUACUCGGGGUUAGGUGGUCAUGUGUUUAGAAAUGCUUUGGACAACAUUGCUUUGGAAGAGACACGUUGUAGGGAAACAUUGUGCAUGGACAAUGACAUUUGUGGUUGUGUUCAAAGGACAUCUUAUGGGCUACCAUGUGCAUGCGAAAUUGCUACUAAACUCUUUCAAGAGAAGCCAAUUUUAUUGGAUGAGAUAUACCACCAUUGGGUUAGGUUAUCUAUGGGUGAAGAAAGUAAUGAAGUUGCUUUUUGUGUCAAGGUUGAGUUGAAGGCUAUUGUAGAACGUCUAAAGAAACUCCCUUUCCAAAUGAAGCUUGAGGUCAAAGAGGGUUUGCGGCAGUUGGCAUUUCCUGAAACCACCUUGAUGUCUCCACCACCACGAAAAGUACCAACCAAGGGAGCAAAGAAAAAAGUCGACAUUGCGAGGUCUAAAGGAAAAAUUACAUCGACUAGUCGGAUCCCUUCUUCUUGGAAGGUUGUUGAUUCCCAAAAUCCGGAUAGCCAACCGUCACCAUCACCAACAACAUCAUCAUAUAAAAGGAAAAAAGGUGUUCGUCUUGGUAAAACAUCACUUUCCCCACUUCCACCACCUACUCGGUAUCCAAAGUCUAAGGCUAUCCCGGUUAUGCGUCCUAUUGAUUAUAUGACACGCUUCAUGCUUCCAUUUAUUGAAAAAGUGGUGGAUGUUAUCGGCGAUGGACAUUGCGGAUUCCGGGCUAUAGCCGAGUUCAUGGGCUUGACCGAAAAAAUCAUCUCAUGAUCCGUACACAUCUUAUUCAAGAGUUGAUGGAUCAUAGAGAUGAUUAUGUUGAAGUAUUUGCGGGUGAGGAUCGUUAUAACUACAUUUUAAACGGAUUACAUCCUCCCGCAAAUACAAAAACUUGUGCACAUCUUGUUGAUAAGUGGUUGAUUUUCCGGACAUGGGACACAUUGUUGCUAAUUAUUACAAAAUGUGUGUGGUGGUGUUGACAAAUCUUGAAGUUGGAAACUCGGAAUCUUUUUUCCCACUAAGAGGGCCACCACCGCCGGGUAAUCAAAAAACUCUCAUCUUGUGCCUUGGGGCAAUUCCAAAUCAUUUUGUGCUUAUUUCCUUGAAGAAUGGUUGUCCACUACCUCCAUCAUCUACGGAGUGGCACAAUCACAAGAAAGAAGAUGCGGUGACUUGGGAAGAUGAGUAUUUGGAUCAACAUGAGUUGUGUCCAAACCACAAAAGGAGUCAAACAAAGCGGCGCCUAUUUUGUUGGACACUCCCGAAAAACCAAAGCAACAAUUUGAAGUUAUUGCGGAAGAUGAGGAAGAUUCUAUGUCACUUGAUCUUCUCCAAUCACUUGGUCUUUAAUGAGUGAUUUUUUUGUCGGUGUUAUUUCUUUUUUUUGGUAGAAAUUACACCGACGUAUUUUUUGGGGUCGAAAUUGUAACGUCAAUUUUUUGUGGCCAAUAUAUAACUAACAUUAUGUAAUUUAUAUUGAUAUAUAUAUAUAUAUAUAUAUAUAUAUAUAUAUAUAUAUAUAUAUAUGAUAAUAUGACUUUUAUGUGGUGAAAAUAAUGCAAUACUUAUUUAUAGCUUUUUAAUGUUUACGCAUUUCAUUUAUUCGUUAUUACAUUCCAUUUAAUUUUGUUCUAAUAUAUGAUUCUUUUGUUAAAAAAAUUUCAAGUGAGACAUGUCUGAGGAUCUGAGGUUGCACAAAUUGAAGGGCGAGUUAGGUACUCCGCGUUUAGGACUCUCUUGACAAUUUGAAGGCACAACGUAACACUUAUUUUGAGCAUCUUGGUGAAAAUCAAUAUACACGUCACUUGUUUGGUCAAAUGCCAUGCAUAGACCUAGGAGAAUAUAGAGAUGAAUACGCAUGGAAAACGGCAAGCUAUAUGCCUUUGCUUAUUCGCGACGACGGCGACGUCGGAUUUAUGUUUCGGAAUAUGGUGGAAGAUAAUAUAUUAUAUAUGUAUGUUCGUUCCAUAUGCAAUUGCGUUGAAUGUAAGUAGGGAUUUAAUUUAAUGAUGUGUAAUGAGUAGUUUAAUUAUGGACACUUUGUAAUGUUUUGAUGAAUUUCAAACGUUUGUUUAAUUUUAACCAAAAUGUCGGUUUAAUUUAAUUAUGAACAAUUGUAAAAGAUAUUGUAUUUAUCUUGAUUAUGACCGAGUUUCAAUCUUGUAUGAAUUAUUUUGCCUUUGGAAAUGCUCUGGUUUAAUUACAGAUAAAAACUGGCCGAAAAAAUGGUUUGGAAAUGUUUAGAAUUAUGCAGAACCCACUGUCUGCAUUAUCAGUUUUCGUUUUCCUCGGCAGUUAACUGCCGCCGGUUGCACAAAAACUUCGACAGUUUACUGCCGAAGGGCAUUUGAAUAAUUUACUCGUGUAGCACAGCCAAACCAAAUGUGGGAACAACAAUUCUCCAUUGUCAAAGUAGUGUCGGGUACAGUAAAACAAUAAAUUUUUUAAUGUUUUAGGGGUAACUUUUUAUUUUAAGUAGCUGAAAGACAGCAUGUUAAUCUACCUGCAAUUUUGUUGCAAUUUUGUUGCAAUAGAAAAAUAUAUUUUGUUGCAAUAGAAAAAUAUAUUUUGUUGCAAUUUUGUUGCAUGUUAAUCUACUUUUGACCAAAAAAAAUAAAAUAAAAUAAUAACGUUCUACUUAUUGUUGUGGUUUUUUCUUCUAUUGUUGUGGAUUAUUCUUAGAGUUUUUUUUCAGAGACAAAUUAAUUUAAAUAAAAAUAUGAAAUUGAAUUCAAGUGAUUAAUAAAGACAAAUUAUUUAGAGAUUAUCAAGAUUCUAUUCGAGAACAAGAGAAUUAACAAAAAAAAAUUCAAUUCUCUACUUAUUAUAAUAAAACAAAAAGAUUAAUCUAUUUCAAGAUAAAAAAAUACUAAGGAUUAUAUUAGAUAUUAUUUUUUAUCAAAGAUUAAAUUAAGUUAUAUCCACAAGUUCUAGCUCAACUGGUAAAAAUGCCAAAAUAGUUAGGUCAGAUACUCUGAUCUAGGUUCGAACUCCGGUACCUCCACAUACGUGCUUGAGUUUAUAAUGACUUUUCCAUUUCGUCUAUUUAAAAAAAAAAAAAAAUUGUCAAUAAUUGUGCAGAUGAAGUUAGAAAUUAUUCCCACACAGCCGGUAUACCAACAUUAGUCUAGAGAAAUAAUAUAAGUGAGUAAGAGACCCACUUUUCUGUCUAAAUGACAAGAAAAUUUAAUUCACUACCCCACUUUUGGUGUGUACUAAUAACUUUGAAACAGGCAUGGAGUAAAUUCAAUGAUCACUACCCCACUUUUGUAUGGUACGAUUAAAUAAGCAACACGAGGAGCACAUGCAUGCAAGAUUUCCCAUAUAGCAACCACUUAUUUUAUUUUGUCUCCUGUUAAUAUUGGUGGAUUUAGUGGCAUCGUAUAUUGCUUGGUGGCAGUGGCAGAGCCACAUACUACAGCUGAGAGAAUGUAGUUGCAUAUCCUUUGAAAUUAUGAUUUUUACACCAAAUGUUCUACUUUAUAUGAUUAUGAAUUCCCUCAGUUUUGAGAUGUGUACAGUAACACGAAAUAAAUAACAUAAGUUUGUUUUACUAAAAAUAAAUAAAUGUUAUCAAUUGAAUAGAAUGUAAUUACUUUAUUUGCUUGAUUAAAAAAAGUGAGAACUUCAUUUAUUGAAGAAGAUGAUUAUCUAAAAAUAAAAGAAGUCACUAAUGCCGAAAACACUUUUUAAAUCAGAUGAAAAUGACUUUUUAAAUCGGUUCAUGAUCCGAUUUAUAGGUGGCCGAUUUAAAAAACUGUCUUUGAUUUUAAGUCUCCACCCUUUACCCAAUUUAAAAUCGUUUCAUUUAAAUCGGUUCACCCCAAUGUUGGAAAGCAAAACAAGUGACAAGAUUGCAAGAAUGGUUUCAGCAAUUCUCAAAGAUGACAGAAUCUCCAUUUUCUCCAUCUAAGAAAACUCUUGAAGUUGAUAGAAAAACUACAGCUGUAUUGUUUGAAAUUCCUUGAACCCUUGAUAAAUACUCAUAUUGAUAUAUGAGUUAUCUUAUUUAAACCACUCAAUUUAUAGACAACCAUAUAUUUACAAAGAAAAAAUAGGCAUUGGCAAGAAAAUCAAAGUAAUAGAGAGAUAAAGUAAAAAUAUAAUGUGAGUAUGAGAGAGAAAAUUGUCACAAAAAUUAUUAUAAAAUGGUUGUAGAAGUAUCAUUUCUCUAGAUGUAUAUAAAGACCUUCUAACUAAAUAAUUUUUUUUUUUACUCUUUAAAAAAAAAUCUAAAUUUUUUUCAUCAAUCCAACAACCUAAUGUCACCAGUAUCAUUGUUUUUUUUUUUUUCAAAAGAAAAUAUAUUAAAUAAAACAGAAAUACAAAAAGCUAAGGGGGCUUAAACUUGACACAUCAAUCACAUAAUCAGCCCUAAAAGAAGAGUAUUAAAUCGAUGAUACAAAAGUGGUAUAACAACAUAAAUGCUUCUCAAUGAUGUGUAUAAGUCGAGAGCACGAAAUCAAAUUGCAAAAAAAAAAUUACUUGUAUAAGUUGCAAGUAUCUUUUCAAAGAAGAGGCGAAUCUGAAUAAAUUCAAACCCAUCUUUUUUUAGGUGUAUGAAUCAACCGUCAACACAGACAUAUUCACGGACCAAUUCCCCCCUAAACAAACACAACAAGUAUCACACCCUUUCGAGCACAACAAACUCUGACUACGACGGAGAGACGUCUGAACAACGUCGAGACGAAUCAGCAAAGCAGUGCAACAAGUCUUUCAAACAGAAGUAUGGCAUGGCAUCCGGAAAGACAACAACAACGUCUUUUUUUUAAAAUGUUAUAGAGAGAACCACCAGCGUGAUGAAAGCAACCCAAACGCCUUGAAACCUGCAUAUCUCAACAGAUAUGUGGGAAUCAGAGAUCAAAGACAAGAAACAACCAACAGCACACAGUGUCGCUAGCAUCUUCCACGACCAUAACAACACCAACCCUUUUCGAGAUCUAAACGAUCCCAAGCAUCAGGAUGAUUUUUUUUCUUUUAAUUAACGGAAAGACGAGCACUAACGUGUCAAUCUAUUCUACAAUUAUAUUGCAAUUAAUUGUAUUUGAAAUAGAAUAAAAUUAUUAUGAGAAAUAAUUCCUACUAAACUUUGGUACCAAUAUCUAGAGAAAUACUCUAUCCGAUAAUAAUUAUAAGCAAAAUAGUACAAUAUUUUAAAAUUAUUUAAUAAAUAAUGCAUCCCAUCACAAUGUAUUUAAAAAGUUAAUUUUUUGUUAUAAAUAUGAUCAAAGAAAUAUUUCUCAAAAAAUAUCUAGUCUAGAGAAAUAAUUCAAGAGACCCACUUUUCUGACAAAAUGAGGAGAAAAUUUAAAGGUCACUACCCCACUAUGGUAUGUACUAAUAACAUUGAAACACGUAUCGUGUAAAUUUAAUGAUCACUAUCUGGUAUGAUACUCCCUCCAUCCCUAUAUAUAAGAUCCUUUUGUCAAAAUUACAGGAAUAUUUAAGAUAGUGGAUAUUUGUAUUAAAGUUGUUUGUAAUCACUAUUGUUUUUACAAUUUUAUCCUUUAAGAAAGAAUGUUAGUUUAUGUUUUCAACAUGUUAUUUAAUGUUGAUUGAAGAAAAAGAUGUAUAAUAAAUAGGGACAUGUAUGUAAAGAAAUAAUUAAUGUAGUUGAAAAUAACAAAAGGGUUUUAUAAAAAGGGACAAUUUUUUUUUCAAAAGGGUCUUAUAAUUAGAGACGGAGGGAGUACGACGUACGAUUGAAUAAGCCAAUAAGGAACACGAGUAGCACAUUCAUACAAAAUUUCCAAUAUUUUAGAUUAAUUCAUUUAAUGAUGCAAAUGGUCUUUAUUAUAGACCACAUAUAUCAUUAAACAAAUGAAUCUAAAAUGUAAUUUUUUGCUUAUAUUAUUGACUAGAGGGUGUAGUUAGCAACUAUCAACUUCAGAUAUAUGUUACGAUAGAGAUAUGAUACGAUACCGAUAUGUUAAUACAGGAAAAUUUUAAAAUUUAAGAUACGAUAUGGUUGAGAUACUUCGAUAAAAAAUUAAAUUUAAACUACAUAUUAAAACUCAAAAUACAAAAUACGGACUAAAACUCAAAAGUAAACAAAUUAGCGCAAAACCUCGAUCAAACAGACAUAAAAAAACAAUAAGUCACAACAAUGAAGUUGCCUUCACAGAACAAUCAACAAUAACAUCAUUCUUAAAGAAACAAAGAGAUACAAAACAGACGCGACAACAAUAGUAGCUUGUUCAAAAAAAGACAACAAUAGUAAUAUAAAUGUAAAUAAUAUUUAUAAUAAAGAAAGCGACAAUUAGUCAAUUACAUAUAUGAUAUAUCCUAAAUAGAAAACCUCAUUACUUAGUCAAUCACAUAAACCAAAUAUAAUAUAAACAUCAGGUAGCCCUCACAUAUCAGUUUUUCACCGCUUAUCCCUUGUAUCCAGAUGUAUUUGAAAAGUAUCGGAUACUUAUUUUUUUUAAAAAUAAAAUUUAAUCUUCAGAUACUCUCCUGAUACAUAUCAGGAAGUAUCAGGCAGAUAUCGGUGCAGGAUACAUAGAGGAUAUGGUACGUCAUCCAUUUUGAAUAUCUGGGCUUCGAAGGCUGACCAGGGGCGGACCUGUUAAAGUCCUGUUGCCACACCAAACAGAUCCAAUUUUUUUUUUGGUCCAAAACACAUGCAUAGCCAAAAAAAUUAAACUAGUGUAGUGCAUUUGAUGCAACACAAAGAGUAUUGUUCUACCUUUGCCUCAUAUUGUUAACUUAUUUAUACUAGAGUUUGUCUUUUUGCGCUUGCAAUGUAGCCGAUGUAAGGUUUAGUAUCUAUCUAUAUUUUACAAAGCACAUGCAUAUAACAUAAAAUAUUUUUUUACAUAUAGAGAAUGAAAUUACUUCUAUAAAAAAUAAGAAUUAAAUUAAUUAUUUAAUUAAACUUUAAUAAUAAGUAAUAUAAAUUUUUGUGAUUAUCAAGCUAUAUUUUUUGUGCUGCUUAUUGGAAAGGGGUUUUACAAAAGACCUAAAAAGUGAGUUUUUAUUGUUAGCAACAUAUGUUUGUCAAGCUAUUAUUAGGUUUUGACUACUAAAAUUUAUUUUAUUUUAUUGAAAUUGAAUCGGGAUGAAGAUUAUGUUUAGAGUCAACUAAGUAACAAGAUGAGUGAUGAAUGGUUAAAUGAUCGUCUUGUAAUGUAUAUAGAAAGAAAUGUUCUUAGAACAAUUAUUAAUGAUGUAAUUUUAGCUAAUUUGUGUAUGAAUCGACCUUCAACACAGACAUAUUCCCCGACCAAUUCCCCCUGAACAAACACAGCAAGUAUCACACCCUUUCGAGCACAACAAACUCUGACUACGACGGAGAGACGUCUGAACAACGUCGAGACGAAUCAGCAAAGCAGUGCAACAAGUCUUUCAAACAGAAGUAUGGCAGGGCAUCCGAAAAGACAACAACAACGUCUUUUUUUAAAUGUUUGUUUACACUGAUUUUUGGUAAACAAUCGCUGGUUUCAAUGAUGUUAACUUGCAAGAUCAACCAGUAAAUCUUAGGAGCAUAUUGUGUUUUUACUGUUUGAAAAUAGUAGUAAUACUUGUUCGUAAAGUAUUUUCGAUAAUCGUAAAGAGAAGAACGAAAUGUAAAAGAAUCGAAUCCAAUCCGUGUUGAAUUCAAUCGAAAUGUUGUAAAUGAUAGUAAUGAAAAGAAGUACUUUAAAAAGACUUAGUAAAACAAGACUUAAAUUGCAAAAGUGUUUAAAAGAUUGUAUUGAAUUUGUAAAGACUUAAUGAAAGUUGGUACACAUAUUCAUACUUUGCAACUUGUAACUCGUUUGUCACUUCCAUACGGACAGUAUUGAGUGUAAGUUUUAGUAUGAUUGAAUUGUGACCCUUUUUUCCUAAGAAAAACUACUAUUUAUACAGAUAGCCCUAUAACUACCUAAUCAUAUCCUUUCGAUUCAAAAUCGAAACUAGUCCUUCAUAAAACUAGUCGUUUGCUAACCGCUUGGUCUUAUCCACAAGAUCUGAGCGCGUCGAUGACUUCUUUUAUCCGACGAACUAAAAACACCUUCUUCGAUUCCUGCUGAAGUAAACUUGCAUUUUUCGAUGGAUUCUUUCACAAAGCUACGCCCCAUUUUAGGUCAAACGUUUGACUGCAUUAAAUGGUCAUAUUUCCACAAAUAUUGGCUAACAAUGUUACAGAGAGAACCACCAGCAUGAUGAAAGCAACCCAAACGCCUUGAAACCUACAUAUCUCAACAGAUAUGUGGGAAUCAGAGAUCAAAGACAAGAAACAACCAACAUCACACAGUGUCGCUGGCAUCUUCCACGACCAGAACAACACCAACCCUUUUCGAGAUCCAAACGAUCCCACGCAUCAGGAUGAUUUACCAAUACUACACAAUGUUACUUUUGUCAUUGUCAAAGUAGUGUCGGAUACAGUAAAAUAAUAAUUUUUUUAAUGUUUUAGGGGUAAUUUUUUAUUUUAAGUAUCUGAAAGACAGCAUGUUAAUCUACCUGCAAUUUUGUUGCAAUUAAUUCUAUAUAGAAAUAGAAAGAAAAAAAAAAUUUAUAGUGAAUAAUAACAUUCUACUUUUGACCAAAAAAAAAUAAAAUAAAAUAAUAACGUACUACUUAUUGUUGUGGUUUAUUUCUUUUAUUGUUGUGGAUUAUUCUUAGAGUUUUUUUUCAGAGACAAAUUAAUUUGAAUAAAGAUAUGAAAUUGAAUUCAACUAUUCAAGUGAUUAGUAAAGACAAAUUGUUUAGAGGUUAUCAAAAUUCUAUGAAUUAACAAAAAACCCAACUCUUUACUUAUUAUAAUAAAACAAAAAGAUUAAUCUAUUUCAAGAUAAAAAAAGUAUUCCCUCCGUCCUAAAUUUAAACACUCAUUUAUUAGAAAUAAAGGAUGUGUUUAUAUAUAGGGACUGAGGAAGUACUAACGAUAUAAUUCCCAAACAGCAGCCAGUAUACCAAUAUCUACUCUAGAGUAGAAAGUAAUGUAAGAGACCCACUUUUCUAUCUAAAUGAGGAGAAAAUUUAAUGAUCACUACCCCACUUUUGUAUGGUACGUGAAAUAAGCAACACGAGGAGCACAUGCAUGCAAGAUUCCCAUAUAGCAACCACUUAUUUUAUUUUGUCUACUGUUAAUAUUGGUGGAUUUAGUGGCAUCGUAUAUUGCUUGGUGGCAGUGGCAGAGCCACAUACUACAGCUAAGAGAAUGUAGUUGCAUAUCCCUUGAAAUUAUGAUAUUUACACCAAAUGUUCUACUACGAUUAUGAAUUCCCUCAGUUUUGAGAUGUGCACUACCAAACCCAUAGAAAGAUGAUUAUGAAUUCCCUCAGUUUUGAGAUGUGUCCAGUAACACGUUUUGAUUUUACUUAUUAAUACUCCCUCAGAUAUUUAUUAUAAAAAAAAACUAAAAAAAAUUGGUUCUAUUUAUAAUGUCACAAUUUUAAAGUUUAGUUAUUGUUUAGAAGAUUUUUUUAUAUUUUUUUUUUUAUGAAAAUUUUUUAGGGUGAGGGGAUGGUGCCCCAGUCCAAGGCAGGGAAGAUCUUCGACCUCAAAGAGCACCUACAAAGGUAAUUACAUUUACCUCCCUCUAAAGGCACUAGCGUGGCUCGAACCCGGGUUCUCUCGGAUUCAAGACCUGUCUUUUUACCACUAGAACAAGCCUUUGGAGUUAGAUUUUUUUAUAUUUAACUUAAGGAAAAUGCUAACCGAUGCUCCGGGACAUUUGUUAAGUAUAUGAAAGAGGAAAUUAUAUAGUAGUUAAUGUAUUGAAAUUGUGUAAUUAAUUUAUAAUAAAGUCAAAAACAGUUUUUUUUUAUAGUAAUAAUUUCAUUUUAUGGUAUGCUUAACCAGUGCCCUGGAGCACCAGUUAGUAGGACCCUUAACUUAAUGAUUAUCAUUUUAAUAUUAGUAAAUGUAUUUAAUUUUCACAAUUUUCUAUAAAAGUAUAUUUAUAAAAUAUAUAAAAAGUUACAAUAAUUAAUGAUUACAUUAACUAGACUUUUGACAACGCACGGGUCAUAUCAACCAUAAUAGACAUCAAUAAAGUAUAUUAUAUAUUUCAAUUGAUGUUAAAUAAGUCAUAGGGAAAAAAAUGGUGUUACCCUUAAAUGUAGUUCGACAAACAUUCAUAUUUUUUGUGAAUGAGUUGCAGAUAACUUUAGUUAUACUAAAUCACGAAAUACCUAUACAUUACAUUUGAAGUUACAAUUUACAAUAGUAUUUUUGUCAUCUUUAUCGAUUAUCAAUAUCUUCGUAGAUCCGUUAAAAACAUAAGAAUUGAAUAGAGAUAUACUAUUGCAAUCAAAAUAAUCAUAAUAUAACUUUUAAGGACAUUUAAAUCUUUGGUAUAAAAAAAGGGACAUUUAAAUCUUUUCAAUGCUUCCAUUUUAGUUUUAACGGACCUAAAAAUCGAAUUUAUUGAACUUAUUUGCUUGCUUUGACACCAAAAAGUAAAAUAAAUAUAAAUAAUUUUGAGAAAAAUUCAAUUUUGUAACAAUAUAAAUAAUGAAAUAUAGUAAAUAAUCAAAAGAUAAUUCAUCUGGCAACAAUGUUUGUUCAACUACAAAAUUGUUACAUUAGCAUUGAUGUUGCAUAAACAUGUUGCCGCAAGAGGACUGUUGAAAGUUUCAAAUACCAAUAAGAAGUAAAACUCUUUGAACUAACAUGCAUGAUGCCUUGUAAAAUUCUUUUGCAAAAUCUGAUAUUACUCUAAUAUCUAAAGUAAUGUUUUCAGUUUGUAGACAAACAUUCAUGUUGUUGGUAAAACUAAAGGGUCUAUAGCAACAAAGACAAAGUUAUUACUUAUUCAAAGCUUAACUUUUGUAAAAGGGCUGCAUUAUGUGAUAAAGUUGUCAAAAACAUAAAACUAUGACCUAAUCAAAAGCUGAUUCAAAUAGAGAGAAUUUGAUUCAUGUAGCUACUCAAAAACUUAAUUACAAUGGGUUGCUUGUUUAUAAAAAUAGGGAUAAAUGGAGUGAAGCUGAACUCCCGUAUCAGCUGCAUGAGUUGAGAUCCUCUCCAUUUAUAAAAAUAAAUAAAUAAAUAUUGUCAUUAUGAAAGAGAUAGUCCCAACAAAUUAGUGGUGGAUCCUAUCAUUAAAUGAGUCACACCAUCAUUAAUUAUUUUCAAGAUUUUUUAUAUCUUUAUCUAUUUAAAUAGAAGAAAUGGAGAAUAAUUUAAAUGGAGAUGGUCUUAGCUACAUAAGUUCAUGACUUUUUUUCUCAAAGAUUCAAUUUUUUUAUCAUCUAGUCAUCUAGUCAUUAAACAAAGAAAAUCAAUGCAUCUAAAUACCAUACAGUUCAUGGAACAACUUAAAGUCGCAUUUUACAAAAUUUUCAUAAGAGCUUUGAAACAUUUCUAUGACAAAUUAAUCUAAUGACCAUUGAACCAAUUUAUAUAUUUGAAAAUCAUAACUUUUAGCACUUUUCUCUCACAAAUAUCUUCAAUAAUAUAAAUUAAACAUAUCAAUGUGAAACCUCUAAAAACGUCCAAACAGAAAAGGAAAUAAGCAAUAUGUUAGUUGGUCAUUGGACUGAAGACCGCAUUUUAUUUAUAACAUAAGAGUACUACAGUAUAAAUAAUCUAACUUAAAGUGGGACUCCCUUGCCUUUUCUUCAAGUUGAGACCAAUCAACAUAAGAACAUUUAGUGUACCGAAUCAAGUGUCAAAUACUUUUUGUACCAUUUAGCUGUCUUUGUCGGUAUACGUUUGAGACUAUCAUCAAAAUUGAUAUGAUAAAGCCCCAUAUGUUUAGAAUAUCCAUCGUCAAAAUCAUAUGUAUCAAAUGCUGCCCAUGCAAAAUAUCCACCAACGUUUAAGCCGUCACUAUCAAUGUAAAAACAUAAUUGCAUUAAAGAUCAGUUUCUUGUGGAAACAGAGUUAUAAAAGCAUGUCAUUUCACAAUAAUCUUCCUAUCGUACUAAUUUUUUUUUUUUUUUUGAGAAACUUCCUAUCAUACUAAUGUUUCUUUAUUUUUCGCCUUUUGAUAUUACAUAUAUUUUGAACAAAAAUUACAAAUCUUAAAGGAUGCAACUCCUUCAAAGUGAACAAUUGUAAAAACAAUGAUGAUUAGGAAGAGAUUGAAAUUUAUGCUCUAAAGUUUCUUAUAUCACAUUCUAAACUAUAUAUAUAUAUAUAUAUAUAUAUAUAUAUAUAUAUAUAUAUAUAUAUAUAAAAGAUGAUUAAAUGAAUGCAUAUAAAUUUUUAUACUAUUUGUGUGAAGUCAUUAAACUCUACUUUAAUUUAACUUGUUAUAAUUUCAUUUUUUUACCAGUUACCAUGUUAUAUGUAUCAAGUUUCCACCGCCGUUAAGCAAUGAAUAUUCUUUGCCAAAGAAUUUAUGGGACACACAAGAUGAAUUCUCCCCUCUGAUUUGAGUUUACGUACCACUUGGAUAUAUUUACUGAUGGUUAAAAUGCACUCGAAUGUAUUCAUUUUAAAUAAUCGAUAAAAUCUAGUUAAUAAUUUUUGAAUUUUUUUAUUCUCUACAUUAGUUGAUAAAUAAUAUAUUAUACAUCUUUGCAAGAGACACACUACAUAAUAAAUAUACCUUAGAAAAUAAAAAUUAGAUAUUAACUUUUCAAAUUCUAAAGAUGUGGAAAAAAUAACUUACUUAAUUGCUGCUUUGGUAGCAUUUAUAUGUGCGGCGAUGUAAGCAGUUCGAUGUUCGUCUUUCAAUGGAUUUGGGAUAUUGAAAGAAGGAAUUCCUAUUAAGAGAGGAUGUCACACAAAAAAAAAAGAAGUAAUGAUCACUUUUUAUGGCAUAAAUUAUAGAUAGUUUAGUUAUAAUGAUGUAAAUGGAGUAAAUAGUCAAUUUCCCUCCUGAAAUUGUAAGUUUCAUCAAUCACCCAUCUGAAAUUCACAAAACUUCAAUUACCCCCCUGAAAUUUCACAACGUUAGUCAAUUUACCCCUCCGUCAAAUUUUUCUGUUAGUGAACAUGAUGUUUUGGAAAUACCCCCCUGAAGUUUUGCACUUAUGUGCGAUAUGUCCCCCAAACUUAAAAAUUUAUAUUAUUUUUUCUUAAAAACAAACAAUUAAUAGUUAAAUAUUAAAACUAACUAUUAAUUUUGGAAUUUGGGAAAACUACAUGCAUAUAUACAUCAAAAUAGACUCCAAAAUGGGAAAAAAUAUGUAUUUUUUAAAGUGACAAUAAUGGGAUGAUUUGUGGAUUAAUAUUGGGGGUUGUGUAGUUUAAAUGGUUUGAGCAAAUUGUUGAAGGAGUUAGAGGAGUUAAAAGACGAAGGCCCCGUUUGGAUAAACAGCUUAUAUAGAUGCUUAUAGCAUUAGGGCUUAUCACAUUAGAGCUUACAUCAUAAGCUAUUUAUGUUUGGAUAUGUACACUAAAAAGUACUUACAUAAAUUGAAGUGUUUGGAUGUGACAAUAUAUAGGGAAUUAUCGAAAUUUUAAAUAUUUUUAAUUUAACAAAAAAUCAAAGAAUUGAACAACAAUUAUCAAGAUUUUUUUUGAUGAAAUUAAAUAUUAUAAUAUAUUAAUUAUAAUUAUAUAUAUAUAUAUAUAUAUAUAUAUAUAUAUAUAUAUAUAUUAUAAUCAAUAUUUGUCCUUAAGAAAAUAUCAAUAUUCAUAUAAUACAAAAUCAACAUUAGAGAUGUAAAUAAACUUAUCAUAUAUAUAUAUAUAUAUAUUAGUGUACAGUUUGUUACCAAACGGGGUCUAAGAUGGCGAAGGAGAAAAUAUAAAUUUAAAUCUGAUUAUUAAUUUGUUUAUAAACCUCUAAAAAUAAUAAUUUGUCUAUUAGAAAUAAUCAUUAUUGUCACUUUAAAAAUACACAUUUUUCCCUAUUUUGAUGUAUAUAUGUAUGUAGUUUUUCCAAACUCCAAAAUUAAUAGUUAGCUUUAAUAUUUAACUAUUAAUUGUUUGUUUUUAAGAAAAAAAUAAUAUAAAUUUUUAAGUUUGGGGGCAUUUUGCACAUAAGUGCAAAACUUCAGGGGGGUAUUUGCAAAACGUCAUGUUCACUAACAGAAAAAUUUGACGGAGAGGGUAAAUUGACUAACGUUGUGAAAUUUCAAGGAGGUAAUUGAAGUUUUGUUAAUUUCAGGGGGUAAUUGAUGAAACUUAUAAUUUCAGAGGAAAAAUUGACUAUUUACUCGAUAUAAAUGUGAUCAAAUGAAAACCAACCAUUUUCAGUGAUGUAGAUUCUUGGAUUUUUAUACUUUUUAUUUAUGUAGAGCAAGAAAUUAUAUAAUCCUUCGGGGUAGACAUAGCUACAACCAUAUUGGUCCUACAAAAUAUUAAAAGUAAACAAAAGUUAUUUCCUAUAAAAAAUAUAAUUAAGUUAUCCCCCUAAAAAAUAUCAUUCUUUAUAAUUUGUAUCAUUAUUUACUCACAUAGUAACCAAGAGUGUUUCCUUCCACAUUCAAAACUGCAACAAUGAAAGAAUAACCAUGCAUUAGUCAACAUCAGUUAUUUUAAUUCCUUGUAAUUCUCUUACAUACUCCCUCCGUCCCUAUAUGUAAGCACGCAUUUGACUUUAUUUUUGUCCCUAAAUGUAAACCCUUUUUAAAUUACUAGAUGCAUUUAUUAUUUUUUCCUAAACAUACGUCUAAUUAAUACUACUAACUUAUCUUGAAAUAUGAAAAGUCAAAUUUUAUACACAUUCAAACAAAGGAAAAUUUAGUAAUAUUAACACAUAAAACAGACACACUAAUUACACUCACAACUUUUCUUAAGAAAUGUGAAAAAGACAAUGGAUGUAUACAUUAAGAGACGGGGGAGUAUUUAAUAUGUAGAAUUUAAUUCAUAAAGUUUAUGGUGUCAACUCCAAUGGUACUUUUUCAUAUCGAUGCCAUUGUAUACCAAUUAUUUUAGAAAUAGAAUGGAAUUAAUUUGAUUAUAAAUUUACCUUCUGUAACAGCCAAGGCAUCAAAAUUGUCACUAGCAGGAAUCUUGGUUCUAUUUGGUUCAUGUCUAACAAAGAGAGAAAAAUAAUAAUUGAUCCCAAUAAAGUCUGUACUUCCUUUCAACAUUUCUUUCUCAUUUUUAGUGAAUUCGGGUAGUCUUUUCCCCACUAACUUUCUCAUUAUUUUUGGAUAAUCCCCUUUGAACAAUGGCUCUAAAACCCUGAAAGACGAAGUCAAACGCCACAAAACAAAAAUUUGAUAUGCAAAUUUAUUAACCAUGGAAAAAAUAUAUAAAAAUCAAGAAGAGAAUAAUUGAACGACUAAUAAAACACAAAAUAUGAGUGGUUUAUGGUGUAACUAAAACGUACUAACCAUCCAAAUUGAAACUCUAUUAAUCUUUGAGCAGCAUCCACAUCCUGAGGCUUGGAACUAUAGGGAACAAAUGAUUUUGCUGAAAUAGCAAUUCCAAUUUCUCCCUCUUGAACUGUCUAUGUCAAAUAUUUAACAGAAAAUGACAAUAUUUUAUAUUUUUCUCUAAAAUUCAACUUAUUUCAUAAACUAUUUUGAUUAAUGUUGAUAAUUAUUAAAAUUAGUGUCAAAAUUAUUAUUACUAUUACGUUAAUUGGAGAUUAUACUCCCUUUAGUCAUGUUGUUGUGAAUCUCAAUCUUUAAUAUAUAUAUAUAUAUAUAUAUAUAUAUAUAUAUAUAUAUAUAUAUGGGAUUUGCUAGAACACACCUACUAAUUUCUAUGUGGGAGUGUUUUACCAAAUUAUAAUUAAAAAGUUAAUAAAUACACCUUAAGGUGUAUGUUGCUAUAACACACCUUCUGACAAAAGCAAGUGGGUGUGUUCUAGCAAAUCCUAUAGGCAUUUGCUAGGAUACACCCACUUAGUUUUUAGAAGGAGUAUUUUAGUAAGUGAAUAACUAAAAAGUGGUUAAAUGGUGUAGCUUUGCUAAAACACUCCCACAUAAAAACUAAUUGGUGUGUUCUAGCGAACCCAUAUAUAUAUAUAUAUAUAGAGAGAGAUAAUUUUGAUACUAUAUACUCCUGUACAAAAUAUGUCUUACUUGGAAUUUGGACUUGUAUAAUUUUGAAAUCGUAGCAUGGGAUAUGAGUAAGUUAUGAAGUACAGUAUAUACUUCUGUACAAACUUUAGUAGUUGCACAGUCCUCCGUAGACAAAUGACCUAGAUUGUCCAUGUAAUUAUACAUAGCUUGAAGUUCCGGCUCAUUCAUUGUGGUCCAAUAUUUCACUCGAUCACCAUAUGUUUUGAAUAGGAGCUCACUAUAAUCCUUGAAAUGUUUCCUAAAAUUUGAUUUUAACAUAAACAAUAUAAGCAUGCAUGAAGAAAUUCAAUAAUGUUUGUGAGAUUAAUUUAAGGUUGAAUCAAUUUAUGGAAAAUAAAUAUUUUGAUGAAAUUAUAUUCAAGUAAAUUUACACAAUGGAGCGAUUUAAGAAGCCGCCAAUAUUUUGUUGAAGAGCUAAUGGAUAGUCAAAGUGCAGGAUAGUCACAAA